GCAUGUGGGCGUGCAGGGUGUGCAUGUGUGUGGAGGGGUGUGCACAUGGUGCCUGUGGGCAUGUGGGUGUGCAUGGUGUGCAUGUGUGUGGAGGGGUGUGCACAUGGUGCCUGUGGGCAUGUGGGUGUGCAUGGCGUGCAUGUGUGUGGAGGGGUGUGCGCAUGGUGCCUGUGGGCAUGUGGGCGUGCAGGGUGUGCAUGUGUGUGGAGGGGUGUGCACAUGGUGCCUGUGGGCAUGUGGGCAUGCAGGGUGUGCA